rnacentral:misc_RNA from 1 species
GGAAUCUAUUAGGCGGAAAAUGUGGGAGUGGGAACUUGGGUUAUGGCUGGGGCUGGGGGUAGGAGUGGGGGUGUCGAUCUCGCAGCGGAUCAAGCCCAAGGAGAACAACCUGAAGGAGCAAUCGAGUGCAGGUUCAACAACUUUAGGAGAGGAAGAAUCAAGAGCCAUGAUGAGGGGUUGCAAGACGAAAUCGGCAUCAGAAGUAGAGAGACCAUAGAGAGGGGUGCAGGAAGCUGGAUCGACAGGGUCGUCAACUACGGAAUCAAGCUUGUCGAGAGCGGACUUGCAGGCGGCGACGAGCUGCGAGUGUUUCCUCCAGGCGACGUUCUUGAUGAUCUUAUCAAGAGACGGACCUAGUACCCAGCCACAGCGGGAAGGACCGCCUAGCGCUUGAGAUGCUGACAUGUUGCCUCACCUCUUCAUCAA